rnacentral:rRNA from 1 species
CCUACGGGGGGCAGCAGUGAGGAAUAUUGGUCAAUGGGCGCGAGCCUGAACCAGCCAAGUCGCGUGAGGGAAGACGGUCCUAUGGAUUGUAAACCUCUUUUGUCGGGGAGCAAAAGACGCCACGCGUGGCGUUCCGAGAGUACCCGAAGAAAAAGCAUCGGCUAACUCCGUGCCAGCAGCCGCGGUAAUACGGAGGAUGCGAGCGUUAUCCGGAUUUAUUGGGUUUAAGGGGUGCGCAGGCGGAAGAUAAAGUCAGCGGUAAAAUUUUGGGGCUAAACCUAUAAGAGCCGUUGAAACUGGUUUUCUUGAGUGAGGUAGAGGUAUGCGGAAUGCGUGGUGUAGCGGUGAAAUGCAUAGAUAUCACGAAGAACUCCGAUUGCGAAGGCAGCAUGCCGG